CGGGUGGUAAUGCCGGAUGUUCCAGUUGAUCGCAUGGUCUUCUGGGAAAGCUUUCGCGGUAUGGGAUGGGGUCGCGUCCUAUCAGCUUGACGGCGGGGUAACGGCCCACCGUGGCUUCGACGGGUAGCCGGCCUGAGAGGGCGACCGGCCACAUUGGGACUGAGAUACGGCCCAGACUCCUACGGGAGGCAGCAGUGGGGAAUAUUGCACAAUGGGCGCAAGCCUGAUGCAGCGACGCCGCGUGAGGGAUGGAGGCCUUCGGGUUGUAAACCUCUUUUAUCGGGGAGCAAGCGUGAGUGAGUUUACCCGUUGAAUAAGCACCGGCUAACUACGUGCCAGCAGCCGCGGUAAUACGUAGGGUGCAAGCGUUAUCCGGAAUUAUUGGGCGUAAAGGGCUCGUAGGCGGUUCGUCGCGUCCGGUGUGAAAGUCCAUCGCUUAACGGUGGAUCCGCGCCGGGUACGGGCGGGCUUGAGUGCGGUAGGGGAGACUGGAAUUCCCGGUGUAACGGUGGAAUGUGUAGAUAUCGGGAAAGAACACCA
rnacentral:rRNA from 1 species